AUUGAACGCUGGCGGCGUGCUUAACACAUGCAAGUCGUGCGGUAACAGGCGUAGCAAUACGUGCUGACGAGCGGCGAACGGGUGCGUAAUACAUGGGAAUCUGCCUUUUAGUGGGGAAUAACCCGGCGAAAGCCGGGCUAAUGCCGCAUAAGAUCUUCGGAUGAAAGCGGGGGAUCGUAAGACCUCGCGCUGAAGGAUGAGCCCAUGCCGGAUUAGCUAGUGGUGAGGUAACGGCUCACCAAGGCGACGAUCCGUAGCUGGUCUGAGAGGACGGCCAGCCACACUGGGACUGAGACACGGCCCAGACUCCUACGGGAGGCAGCAGUGGGAAUAUUGGACAAUGGGGAAACCCUGAUCCAGCGACGCCGCGUGUGUGAAGAAGGCCUGCGGGUUGUAAAGC
rnacentral:rRNA from 1 species